UCUCCGUGACCCUCCCGGCCUCCCGCCCCCGGGCGGGUCGGCGCCCGCCGGAGGAUAACCAAACUCUGAUUUAACGACGUUUCUUCUGAGUGGUACAAGCAAAUAAUCAAAACUUUUAACAACGGAUCUCUUGGUUCUGGCAUCGAUGAAGAACGCAGCGAAAUGCGAUAAGUAAUGUGAAUUGCAGAAUUCAGUGAAUCAUCGAAUCUUUGAACGCACAUUGCGCCCGCCAGCAUUCUGGCGGGCAUGCCUGUUCGAGCGUCAUUUCAACCCUCAAGCUCUGCUUGGUGUUGGGGCCCUACAGCUGAUGUAGGCCCUCAAAGGUAGUGGCGGACCCUCCCGGAGCCUCCUUUGCGUAGUAACUUUACGUCUCGCACUGGGAUCCGGAGGGACUCUUGCCGUAAAACCCCCCAAUUUUCCAAAGGUUGACCUCGGAUCAGGUAGGAAUACCCGCUGAACUUA
rnacentral:rRNA from 1 species